rnacentral:rRNA from 1 species
UACGGAGGAUCCAAGCGUUAUCCGGAUUCAUUGGGUUUAAAGGGUGCGUAGGCGGAAUAGUAAGUCAGUGGUGAAAGCCUGCAGCUUAACUGCAGAAUUGCCAUUGAUACUGCUAAUCUUGAGUACAUUUGAAGUGGGCGGAAUGUGUCGUGUAGCGGUGAAAUGCUUAGAUAUGACACAGAACACCGAUUGCGAAGGCAGCUCACUAAACUGUAACUGACGCUGAGGCACGAAAGCGUGGGGAUCAAACAGG